AGCGAACGCUGGCGGCAGGCCUAACACAUGCAAGUCGAACGGACCCUUCGGGGUUAGUGGCGGACGGGUGAGUAACACGUGGGAACGUGCCUUUAGGUUCGGAAUAGCUCCUGGAAACGGGUGGUAAUGCCGAAUGUGCCCUUCGGGGGAAGGAUUUAUCGCCUUUAGAGCGGCCCGCGUCUGAUUAGCUAGUUGGUGAGGUAAUGGCUGACCAAGGCGACGAUCAGGAGCUGGUCUGAGAGGAUGACCAGCCACAUUGGGACUGAGACGCGGCCCAAACUCCUACGGGAGGCAGCAGUGGGGAAUCUUGCGCAAUGGGCGAAAGCCUGACGCAGCCAUGCCGCGUGAAUGAUGAAGGUCUUAGGAUUGUAAAAUUCUUUCACCGGGGACGAUAAUGACGGUACCCGGAGAAGAAGCCCCGGCUAACUUCGUGCCAGCAGCCGCAGUAACAC
rnacentral:rRNA from 1 species